AGGGCGUACAGUGUGAACCAACUCACCCAUUCCAAGUGGGAGAUAUUGUGCUGAUAAAGAAAUUAAAGUAAGGAAAAUUUGCAGGAGACUUCAUCUACGGACCACCGACUACAGUGGUAGCCGUGACCCG